ensembl:lncRNA
AAUUACAAGGUACAACCUUUUCACCUUUCAUCAUUUUGCAAACUCCAGCUUAAUGUACAGAAUGACACACAAUCUUGCUUUCCUCCAUACUGACAGUUUGCUUCACUAAGCUCAGAUAACAUUAAGCAAACCGGAGGAACCAGAGCAGCAUAGGGUUAGCACAACUCUCCAUUAGAGCUGCACUCACUGGCACACAAUGCUAUAACCAAUCAUGUGCCCAUUAACCACAAAGUAUGACAAUGUUUGUAAAUGAUCCUUUCCUACCCAGGGACUGCUGAAGAUAUGUAACUCUAGCUGGACAAUUACUGUCUAUUGUCCCUAUUAAUUAAACAAUACAAUCUCGAAAAUGUUCUUUAAAAAAUAAAAUAAAAUGUACAUUUUUGAGAUUUCUAUAGUUAUUUUUCUGUACCUUUUUUCUUUUACAUACAAAAACACUAGACGAACAGCAACAACACAUGCUAGCUACUCCGUCGUUUACUCUGCUGCUACUGUACCGGCUGGGAAAAUGAUUAUUUUAUCCCCAUUCAGGUUAGCAUAGUGCUAAACUGGAAGAAAGCUGUCUCUGGUACGCUUGCUUUAAAGUGGCAGCAGUGAGAUGGCCAACAAGAAGCCCGUAUAAACUGUAAAUAUGUAACGAUCCGUUCUGGUAAUAAAUGAUUGUAUAUUAUAAAACAUGAUUAACCUCUGGUUUCUUUAGAGUUCUGUCCUAAGGAGAAUACACUUAACACUGUAAGUAAGUUACUGUCCUCUUGGCUGUCCUCUUGGCUGUCCUCUUGGUUACUGUCCUCUUGGCUGUCUUCUUGGUUACUGUCCUCUUGGCUGUCUUCUUGGUUACUGUCCUCUUGGCCGUCCUCUUGGCCGUCCUCUUGGCCAUCCCUUUGGCCGUCCUCCUGGCUGUCCUCUUGGCUGUCCUCUUGGCCAUCCUCCUGGUUGUCUUCUUGGCUGUCUUCUUGGCUGUCCUCUUGGCCUCUUGGUUACUGUCCUCUUGGCUGUCUUCUUGGCUGUCCUCCUGGCUGUCCUCUAGGCCGUCUUCCUGGCCGUCUUCUUGGCCGUCCUCCUGACCGUCCUCCUGGCCGUCCUCCUGGCCGUCCUCCUGGCUGUCCUCCUGGCUGUCCUCUUGGCUGUCCUCCUGGCUGUCCUCCUGGCUGUCCUCUUGGCUGUCCUCCUGGCUGUCCUCUUGGCUGUCCUCUUGGCUGUCCUCUUGGCUGUCCUCCUGGCUGUCUUCUUGGCUGUCCUCUUGGUUACUGUCCUCUUGGUUACUGUCCUCCUGGCUGUCCUCUUGGCCGUCCUCCUGGCCGUCCUCUUGGCCGUCCUCUUGGCUGUCCUCUUGGCUGUCCUCUUGGCUGUCAUCCUGGCUGUCAUCCUGGCUGUCCUCCUGGCUGUCCUCUUGGCUGUCCUCUUGGCUGUCCUCUUGGCUGUCCUCUUGGCUGUCUUCUUGGCUGUCUUCUUGGCUGUCUUCUUGGCUGUCCUCUUGGCCUCUUGGUUACUGUCCUCUUGGUUACUGUCCUCCUGGCUGUCCUCUUGGCCGUCCUCCUGGCCGUCCUCUUGGCCGUCCUCUUGGCCGUCCUCUUGGCCGUCCUCUUGGCCGUCAUCCUGGCUGUCAUCCUGGCUGUCCUCCUGGCUGUCCUCUUGGCUGUCCUCCUGGCUGUCCUCUUGGCCGUCCUCCUGGCCGUCCUCUUGGCCGUCCUCUUGGCCGUCCUCUUGGCCGUCAUCCUGGCUGUCAUCCUGGCUGUCCUCCUGGCUGUCCUCCUGGCUGUCCUCCUGGCUGUCCUCUUGGCUGUCCUCUUGGCUGUCCUCUUGGCUGUCAUCCUGGCUGUCCUCUUGGCUGUCCUCCUGGCUGUCCUCCUGGCUGUCCUCCUGGCUGUCCUCUUGGCUGUCCUCUUGGCUGUCAUCCUGGCUGUCCUCUUGGCUGUCCUCCUGGCUGUCCUCUUGGCUGUCCUCUUGGUUACUGUCCUCUUGGUUACUGUCCUCCUGGCUGUCCUCUUGGCCGUCCUCCUGGCCGUCCUCUUGGCCGUCCUCUUGGCUGUCCUCUUGGCUGUCAUCCUGGCUGUCAUCCUGGCUGUCCUCCUGGCUGUCCUCUUGGCUGUCCUCUUGGCUGUCCUCUUGGCUGUCCUCCUGGUUGUCUUCUUGGCUGUCUUCUUGGCUGUCUUCUUGGCUGUCCUCUUGGCCUCUUGGUUACUGUCCUCUUGGUUACUGUCCUCCUGGCUGUCCUCUUGGCCGUCCUCCUGGCCGUCCUCUUGGCCGUCCUCUUGGCCGUCCUCUUGGCCGUCAUCCUGGCUGUCAUCCUGGCUGUCCUCCUGGCUGUCCUCCUGGCCGUCCUCUUGGCCGUCCUCUUGGCCGUCCUCCUGGCCGUCCUCUUGGCCGUCCUCUUGGCCGUCCUCUUGGCUGUCAUCCUGGCUGUCCUCCUGGCUGUCCUCCUGGCUGUCCUCCUGGCUGUCCUCUUGGCUGUCCUCUUGGCUGUCCUCUUGGCUGUCAUCCUGGCUGUCCUCUUGGCUGUCCUCCUGGCUGUCCUCCUGGCUGUCCUCCUGGCUGUCCUCUUGGCUGUCCUCUUGGCUGUCAUCCUGGCUGUCCUCUUGGCUGUCCUCCUGGCUGUCCUCUUGGCUGUCCUCUUGGCUGUCCUCUUGGCUGUCAUCCUGGCUGUCAUCCUGGCUGUCAUCCUGGCUGUCCUCUUGGCUGUCCUCCUGGCUGUCCUCCUGGCUGUCCUCUUGGCUGUCCUCUUGGCUGUCCUCUUGGCUGUCCUCCUGGCUGUCCUCCUGGCUGUCCUCUUGGCUGUCCUCUUGGCUGUCCUCCUGGCUGUCCUCCUGGCUGUCCUCCUGGCUGUCCUCUUGGCUGUCCUCUUGGCUGUCAUCCUGGCUGUCCUCUUGGCUGUCCUCCUGGCUGUCCUCUUGGCUGUCCUCUUGGCUGUCAUCCUGGCUGUCAUCCUGGCUGUCCUCCUGGCUGUGCUUCAGAGCGACUCCCUCCAUCUGUCCAGCCACCAGGUUGUUCGCCUGCUGAUCUGCAUUGUCCAAGAACAUCCAGCUCUUUGGUUCCCUCUGAAAUGUUACAUUUGGUUAAUGAAGGUGAGAGCGCAGCCAGUGCAAACAGCGUGUGCUCCUACACACAGUUUUCAUUUGGAAUCCAAGUGUUAAGAAUACGAAGGCUUGCACUUGUAUUACCUCCGACUGUUUCCAGCUUUUAUCUAGUAAACGCUGCAUUUU